AGUGAACGCUGGCGGUAGGCCUAACACAUGCAAGUCGAACGGCAGCACAGUAAGAGCUUGCUCUUACGGGUGGCGAGUGGCGGACGGGUGAGGAAUACAUCGGAAUCUACUUUUUCGUGGGGGAUAACGUAGGGAAACUUACGCUAAUACCGCAUACGACCUACGGGUGAAAGCAGGGGAUCUUCGGACCUUGCGCGAUUGAAUGAGCCGAUGUCGGAUUAGCUAGUUGGCGGGGUAAAGGCCCACCAAGGCGACGAUCCGUAGCUGGUCUGAGAGGAUGAUCAGCCACACUGGAACUGAGACACGGUCCAGAAUCCUACGGGAGGCAGCAGUGGGGAAUAUUGGACAAUGGGCGCAAGCCUGAUCCAGCCAUACCGCGUGGGUGAAGAAGGCCUUCGGGUUGUAAAGCCCUUUUGUUGGGAAAGAAAAGCAGCAGGUUAAUACCCCGCCGUUCUGACGGUACCCAAAGAAUAAGCACCGGCUAACUUCGUG
rnacentral:rRNA from 1 species